GACGAACGCUGGCGGCGUGCUUAACACAUGCAAGUCGAACGGGCCUUGUCCCCUUUUUUUUGGGGGUGGGGUUAGUGGCGAACGGGUGAGUAACACGUGAGUAACCUGCCCCUCACUUCUGGAUAACCGCUUGAAAGGGUGGCUAAUACGGGGUGUUCUGGCCUGCUCGCAUGGGUGGGUUUGGAAAGAUUCGACCGGUUUUGGUUGUUUUGGUGGGGGAUGGGCUCGCGGCCUAUCAGCUUGUUGGUGGGGGGAUGGCCUGCCAAGGCUUUGACGGGUAGCCGGCCUGAGAGGGGGGGCGGUCACACUGGGACUGAGACACGGCCCAGACUCCUACGGGAGGCAGCAGUGGGGAAUAUUGCACAAUGGGCGCAAGCCUGAUGCAGCGACGCCGCGUGAGGGAUGGAGGCCUUCGGGUUGUGAACCUCUUUCGCCAGUGAAGAAGGUCCUGCUCUUUGUGGUGGGGUUGACGGUAGCUGGGUUAAUGAAGCGCCGGCUAACUACGUG
rnacentral:rRNA from 1 species